CAUUUGAAGUCGCUUUCGAAAUUCGUAAGCCUUCGUCGGGACGCAAUCGCACUUCACAUCCGCACUUCGGAGUCCAUGCACUUGGGUUCGCUGCAUGAGCACUGCAUUCAGAUCAGUUCUCUGACGGGUAACGUUAUACCGUAAUACGCAGUUUAUGCGCGACCCGCGAAAUAACGUGGCGGGCAUAAUAGAUCGAUGGCGGUCUUUUACUGAUACAAGCGUCGGAGCUUCCGUGAUGAGCAAAACUUCCAAUGUAUAAUCAGGAUGUGUAAGAAUGACUACUUCCUUUACAUACUAGUGCUGAUGUGUCUAAAACACAGAGGCGUUAACUGAAACUGAAUAUAUCUUGGAAAUCCCCAGCAUCAGAAGAUGAGAUCUGGGAGUUUUACCUGCAAACACAUGUCAGAUUGCUGUGUGAUUCAUCUG